ACCGAAAUAGCUCAGUUGGAAGAGCUUUAGACUUUAGAUAGAAAGGUCCCUGGUUCGAUCCCGGGAUGCCGCA
rnacentral:tRNA from 1 species